UAGAGUUAUCUAACUCACCAAAACCCCUGUGAACUUACCUAUGUUGCCUCGGCGGGGAACCUACUACCUACGCUGUAGUUGUAGGCUUACCCGCCGGUGGACCAUACAAACUCUUGAUUUUAUUUUGGCACUUCUGAAUUAUCAUAAAUAAGUUA
rnacentral:misc_RNA from 1 species